UGCAAGUCGAGCGGACAGAAGGGAGCUUGCUCCCGGAUGUUAGCGGCGGACGGGUGAGUAACACGUGGGUAACCUGCCUGUAAGACUGGGAUAACUCCGGGAAACCGGAGCUAAUACCGGAUAGUUCCUUGAACCGCAUGGUUCAAGGAUGAAAGACGGUUUCGGCUGUCACUUACAGAUGGACCCGCGGCGCAUUAGCUAGUUGGUGAGGUAACGGCUCACCAAGGCGACGAUGCGUAGCCGACCUGAGAGGGUGAUCGGCCACACUGGGACUGAGACACGGCCCAGACUCCUACGGGAGGCAGCAGUAGGGAAUCUUCCGCAAUGGACGAAAGUCUGACGGAGCAACGCCGCGUGAGUGAUGAAGGUUUUCGGAUCGUAAAGCUCUGUUGUUAGGGAAGAACAAGUGCAAGAGUAACUGCUUGCACCUUGACGGUACCUAACCAGAAAGCCACGGCUAACUACGUGCCAGCAGCCGCGGUAAUACGUAGGUGGCAAGCGUUGUCCGGAAUUAUUGGGCGUAAAGGGCUCGCAGGCGGUUUCUUAAGUCUGAUGUGAAAGCCCCCGGCUCAACCGGGGAGGGUCAUUGGAAACUGGGAAACUUGAGUGCAGAAGAGGAGAGUGGAAUUCCACGUGUAGCGGUGAAAUGCGUAGAGAUGUGGAGGAACACCAGUGGCGAAGGCGACUCUCUGGUCUGUAA
rnacentral:rRNA from 1 species